rnacentral:rRNA from 1 species
UACGGGGGGGGCAAGCGUUGUUCGGAAUUACUGGGCGUAAAGGGCUCGUAGGUGGCCAACUAAGUCAGACGUGAAAUCCCUCGGCUUAACCGGGGAACUGCGUCUGAUACUGGAUGGCUUGAGUGUGGGAGAGGGAUGCGGAAUUCCAGGUGUAGCGGUGAAAUGCGUAGAUAUCUGGAGGAACACCGGUGGCGAAGGCGGCAUCCUGGACCAUUACUGACGCUGAGUGAGCGAAAGCCAGGGGAGCAAACGGG